rnacentral:lncRNA from 1 species
GGCUCGGGCACGGGGAGAGGCGCCGGUGCUGCCGCUUCGGGGCGGGGCGCGGAUGGAGCCGCGCUUUGUGCUGCCUCAGAGCGGCGCUUCUCCCGCCCGGCGUUAUCGGGGCCGAGGUCGCCCCUCGCUGGCUUGUCGUUAGUGGGCAGUCUGCGCCUCUUGCCUCUGAGAAGGCUUUUCAAAAUAUCUUUGAGAUUUAGUCUUUGCUUCUUAAUCUGGUCAGAGGCGGAGUACAAAUGAAUGCAGUUCACCAAAGAAACAAUCAAUACUGAAAGUAUUCACCGAGUUAGCACUUCUGGUAAGUUAUUUAGUCUUUCACUUUGUCAAUGUAUCUUUGGGCAAAACUAAGCUCUAACAGGAAAUGUGCUCCCAACAGCUUCUUGUAACAUGCUAAGCAAUUGAUGAACAUACAAGAUAUUUCUUCUAAAAUAUCUAUUAAAAGUGUAUGUUCAUAUAUUGUAUAUGUUUUUAUAUAUAGGUAUUAUAUGCAACUAUUUAUGACUAGAGAAAACUAGAAUUUGGGUGCAACUCCUUGGAUGUGAAGCAGAGGCAGCAAACAGUUUCUCUGAGUUACCAAAGUACAGUAAUCAUUCAGAAUUGCAAGGAAGAGGUAGAUUGUCUGUGGAGUGCUGGGACCGUGGCUCUGUAAGGAAGGAGGCUGGAGUGGGACAAUAUAUAUCUAAAAAGGCAGCAGUGAGUAUGAGGAAGUAGAAGGAGGUCCAUAUGGGAAAAACAGUCCAUCAAACAUGCCUGUGCUAAGUGAAAUCUUACAUGCUUGGUUGUUUUAUUUCUUUCCAAGUAUAUCAGAUCAUCUGAUUGGAUAACAAUCAGAUAAAAAAAGUCUUCUUUUA